GAUGCUGAAGAGUCGAGUGAUGAGAAUAAUGAUGAAGAGUAGGAUGCCAGUUAUGAUGAAAUAGCUUCUGACUGAUUCUGCCAAGUAGCAACAGAAUCACCUGAUUACUCCUCAAAAGAUUCUGAUUCUAAAUAUAAGGAACAGCAACAUAUGAAACGUUGCAUUGGUAAAACUUACCCCCCCCCCCCAGAAAGGGAUGACAAAACCAUGGACAGAGAUUGAAAAAGAGGCUGUAAAGAAAGGAUUACACAGAUGCUUUUUUUUAGUCAAGUUACCAUCAAAAAAGAGAGUGUGAAGAUCUAAUCAGUAAGGAACCAUGUUUAGAAUACAGAUCAUGGACAAUGAUAAAAGAUUCUGUGAGAACAUCAUUUAAGCAGCACAAAAACGUCAAAAUGAAAAGGAAAAAAAGAACAUAAAAUUGAUAAACCAGUGAAUAUAUUAUUAUGUCUGGAUAUCUACAUUUUUUUAAGUAUGCAGGAACUCAAAUUUCUCUUGUCAAAAUUGUCUCGAUAUCGCGUGGAACUUAACUUAAAAUUUGCCUGAUAUUUUUGUGGUUUAUUGUUUUGCCUCAACGGAGUAGUGGCAACAUGUAGGGAUCCCUUCUCCGGCAUCUGCCACAAAACUUGUCUGGACUACUCCUCAGAAACUACUGGUGCAAUUUCAUGGAAACUUUACAGGAAUGCUCAGUACUAAGUCUAGUGUUUUACAUAGAACAGUUCAUCAAAAUAAAAUAUCGUAAACACCGCUUAUAACUAACAGCUCUAGACCUACAAAAAGUGUUUGUUUUUUAAGGAGUAUGUAAUAGAUAUUUAUCUUCUGUUUUGUUAUUUUAAGCUAGAUUUUUUUUCCAAAGAAAAAAAUAUAGAGGAAUUGCCACAGUCAGGUUCGCGUUCCCGUAUCCUGUUGCUAUUGUCAUCCAAAAACUUUAACAUUGAUCAUUAUUUUUAGAUCACCUGUCAAAAAGUGACAGGGUGAGCUUUUGUGAUCACUUUUCGUCCAGCAUCUGUCUGUCCGUCCGGCGUCCGUAAACUUUUACUUAAAAUGACAUCUCCUCAUAAACCACUAAGCCAAUUUCAUCCAAACUUCAUAGGAAUGUUCCUUUGGUGGUCACCUUUAAAUAUUGUUCAAAGAAUUAAAUUCCAUGCAGAACUCUGGUUGCAAUGGCAACCCAAAGAAAAAACUUAAAAUAUCUUCUUUUAAAUAACCCAAAGAGCUGGAGCUUAGAUAUUUGGCAUGAAACAUUUUCUAGUCAGUGUCUACUAAGUUUGUUCAAAUAAAAGCCCUGGGGUCAAAAUUGGCCCCACCCCAGGGGUCAUUGAUUUUCACUAUAUGCAUAUAGUAAAAACUUUAAAAAUCUUUUUUUAAUUUAGAUUCCAAAGAGCUACAGCUAAGAUAUUUAGCAUGAAACAUCUUCUAAUGAAUGUCUACCAAGUUUGUUCAAAUAAGAGCCCUGGGGUCGAAAUUGGCCCCGGCCCGGGGGGUCAUUGUUUUCCCUAUAUGUAUAUAGUAAAAACAUAAAAUAUCUUCUUUUAAAAAAAACCAAAUAGCUAGAGCUUAUAUAUUAAGCAUAAACCAUCUUCUAAUGAAUGUCUACAAAGUUUGUUCAAAUAAAAGCCCUGGGGUCAAAAUUGAUUCUGCACUGGAGGUCAUUGAUUUUCCUUAUAUGCAUAUAGUAAAAACUUUAAAAACUUUUUUUAAUUUAGAUUCCAAAGAGCUAGAGCUAAGAUAUUUAGCAUGAAACAUCUUCUAAUGGAUGUCUACCAAGUUUGUUCAAAUAAGAGCCCUGGGGUUGAAAUUGGCCCCGCCGGGGGGGUCAUUGUUUUCCCUAUAUGUAUAUAGUAAAAACUUAAAAAAUCUUCUUUUAAAAAACCCAAAUCGCUAGAGCUUAUAUAUUUAGCAUGAAACAUCUUCUUUUGGGUGUCUACCAAGUUUGUUCAAAUAAAAGCCCUUGGGUUAAAAUUGGCCAGGCCCGGGGGUCAUUGUUUUUCAUUACAUUGUAUAUGUGUGUAGUUUGUUCAAAUAUCAGCCUUGGGGUUUAAACUGGCCCCGCUCUGGGGGCCUGUAUACAGGUGAACAACUUCAGGGCCAUCAUGGCCCAUUUGUUUUAUUACUUGGUGUAUUGUCCUUAUACUUGGGCACAAAAGUCAUUUGGAAAAGACCAUCAAGCAGACUAGACUAAACUUGGCAUUGACUUUCAAUUGAAUAUGGAACUUUGCUUGUAAUUAGCAAUAAGUAGUUGUAACUUUGUUACUAAUGAAUGGAUUGUCUUCAUACUUAGACACAAUCAACCUUUCAGCAAAAGAAUUUGAGAAGACGAAGCUAAAGGUGACCUUGACUCUUAAAUGGUCAUGACAUUUAGGGUACAAAUAUGUUAUUUUGCUUGAUUUUUAGUUCAACUAUUGGCAGAAUAUUCGAGCUAUUGCAGUCACCCAUUUUUCGGCGUCCCUAUGGUUAAGUUUUUGUGCUUUUUGGCUGAUAUCUCCCUAACUUUGGAAGGGAAUGGAUUGAAACUCUACACAUUUCUUUUCUCUGAUUAUCUAAGAUGAUUUGCACAAGUCCAAUAACUCUGAUUUGCUAUUUUGCAUAUUUAUGCCCCUUUUUUGAGUUAGAAAUAUUUGGUUAAGUUUUAGCAUGUAAGCCGAUAUUUCCAAAACUAAGAAAGGGAAUGGAUUUAAACUCCACACGCUUCUUCCCUGUAAUUAUCUCACAUUAUUGGCACAAUUCCCAUAACUCUGAUUUGGCUGAGGGACAAUUUGAGCCACGUCGCGACAAAACCAACGUAAUGCGUUUGCCACCAGCAUGGAUCCAGACCAGCCUGCACAUCCGCACAGUCUGAUCAGGAUGCAUGCUGUUUGCUAUCAAUUUCUCUAAAUAGGGUUUGUAAGGGAACAGCAUGGAUCCUGAUCAGUCUGCACGGAUGUGCAGGCUGGUCUGGAUCCAUGCUGGUUGCAAACCCAUUAUGUUGGUUUUGUAGUGACACUGCUCAUUUUAUUUAUUCAUAUAGGUAGGCUGUAUUAUACUCAAUGAAACACCCUUGUCUAGUGUUGUGUCCUCCGACAGCUCUUGUUAUUAUAAUUGCUUGUAACUUUCUUAUUUAUAAAUGGAUUGUCAUAUUAAUUGAACAUAUUAUCCUUUUGGACAUUAUCUUAAGUAAGAUCAAACUCCAUGUAACCUUGACCUUGAACUGACCUUGACCAUCAAGGUCAAAUUAUUAAAUUUUGUUAAAAAUGGUAGAUUUGACUGUAAUUGAUCAAAAUAACACUUAUGACAAAAUCGACAUGAUGUUUUAUCUAUGUCUGUCCAGGUCAUGUUACUGACUUUUGUCAAAAAUAGUUCAACUUUGUUAUCAAUUGAUGGAUUUGAUUGAUACUUUACAAAAGAAUAUUUAUGAAAAAUGCAACAUGUUGUUUAUCAAUUUUUGUAUGACUUUGACCUUGAACUGACCUUGACCGUCAGGGUCAUGUUUUUGAAUUAAGCUGAAAUUUGUGUUAAUUUGUUAUUAAUUGAAUUGAUUCUUGGUCAAGAUCAAAGUAUAGACAAACUGACAUGUUGCAUAAUCAAUUUUUGUUCUUGACAUGACCUUGACUGUCAAAGUAAUGUUUUUGAAUUUUGCUAGAAUUUGUAUAAAUUUGUUAGUAAUGGAUGGAUUUGAUUAAUACUUGGACAAUACAACAGUUAAGCAAAACCCAAACUUUGUUAUUUAUGAGCAGAUUUGGUUCAUACUUUGGCAUGGACUGCAUGCAGCACUAAACCGUUAUAAUGAGUAAUUCAAAUUUGGCAUUGACCUUUUAACGACCAUCACCAAAAAAGCGAUACGACAGUUAAGUUAUAUUAGUGACACAAAUAAAUUUAAAAUCAUUUUCCGGGUUUAAUGUGAGGAAUUCAGUUAAGAUAAUACAUUAAUUUGUUCGUGAAUUGUUAAAAUUGAUUCAGAAAUUUUCAUGCCCUUGUUAACUUUUUAUAUGUGAUUAUUUAUUGUUAACAUACAUUUGAUAUGACACACAACGUUAUUUUCUUGAUGUUAUUGGUAUUUGAAUAUUUAAUAUUAAUUUAUUGAACUUUAAUAGAAAUAUUCAGGUUAGCUAAUAUCAUCCAAUUUGUUAUUGUAUUUACUCAUUAUAUUUGUAUUUCUACGGCUGCGUUUUUAUUGGCGCUAUACGUUAUAAACGAAAAAUAGUCACAUAUUCUGGAACCUUAUGAUAUGAAAUGUGAUUAUGAAUAGAUAGAAUGGAAAUAAAAAAAGUGGAUUUAUUAAAACAUUUUCCUUUUCCAAUGCAUUGUGUAAUAGCCAGGAUAAAUGUUAAUUAUUUAUAAGUACUUAUUAUUUCCAUAUGUAGUAAAUUAUUGACUUUUAAUAUAAUAAACUUACUCGACCUGUUAAUAUGUCAGUAUAUUUGGUAACUUAAUUAAUAAAUCGAUUUAAAAAAGCUUUAAAUUGACAGAAAAUUAAAAAAAUUUCAAUCUAAACUACUUCUGUACCAUUGUCUUAGACAAGUAGCUUUUCUAAGGAAAAUGGUGGACUUCGCAGGCAUCUUAGCGUUGAACUGAUAACGAUCGCUGAUUGGCUUAUCUCUGUGACCCCUGCCAGUUUGACUGACAGGCGGCGUAAUGUCAAUUAAUGCUACAGCAGAAGUAUAAAUCCCAAUAUUCAAACACAUUUUCAAAAAAAAAGUGAUGCAGCCUAGAUUUUCAGUCUAUGUUAUUCUUGGUUGUAGUAAAACAAAUUUGACCAUGAAGUUUAUCAAAUUAAUUGCUUGUUUUGUAGAGGCAAUGUCAUAUUCACACAGAAUGACUUAUUUGAUUUUAAAUUUACCGUGACUUGCAGAACUAUGAUUUUAUUUUUCCACAAUUUCUUGACAUUUAUUAGUGAUUUCAUUAAUUGUUACAAUUACAUCUUCUGGACAGUUAUACUCUUGAUUGUUGUUUUGAAUAAAAUAGGACAAUAAUCGUCUGUACUUAAGUAAAAAUUCUGAUCUAUUUUGGCCUGUAGGUUGCUGAUAAUGAGAUCACGUUUGAGUCCAAACUUUGGUGUUAAGUUAUUAUUGUAUUAUGAUCAAAUGAGUUGAUACCUGCCAUAUUGAAGCAGGAUGUACUUUGAUUUAACAUAAACAUUUGUAAUGCGAUUUCAUCCUAUUUUGGUCUGAAAUUUCUGUGUGAAAUCUUGAUGGAAUUUCGAUCCACAGACAUAUAUCAAUAGAAGCAGUAUAUGUUUUAAAGUGUGCAUUUGCUUUUUUUAUUCCCCGCCAAUGGAAACGGGAGGAUAUUGUUUUGGCAUUGUCCAUCCGCCCUCUUUCCGCGCUAGCAAUUACUGGCUGGAAUUCAGCGAAACUUUAUGGCAACCAUCAAUACCAAGAGAUGCGCAUAUCUUUGCCUUGUUCCUGUCAGACCUUCCAACACAGAGUGAUGGCCCUUGAUUAGUAUGCAGUAUGUGUAAAAAGCAAUAAUCGUUUCCGCGCUGUUUCUCUGCAACUACUGGCUGGAAUUCAAUUAAACUUUAUAGGAACCAUUAAUACAAAAAGGCAAUUUGCAUCUCAUUGGCAUGCCCAGAUAAUACUAUCUAACACUGAGUUAUGGCCCCUGUUAUUGCUCUGAAUAUUUAUCAUGUACAAAGAAUAUUACUGUUUACGCCAUGAUAAAUAUAUAAAAAUAAAGCCUUAUGUCUCCAGUUAAUGUGUUAGUAAUAACCAGUACUCGACAGGGGGAUAAAUCAAGGAAUUUGCUUGUAUAGAAGUAAAAUUCGAGGCUGAACAAUCAACAUUUGAGGAAACUUAAAUGAAAUGCUUAAUGAAAACAAUGCUAAAUUAGUUUGCAAGUUUUGAAAGAUAAUAAUAUUAUAUUCAUUUCAAGAGAAAAAAACUUUAAUUAUCUUGUUUACAUGCCAUGUUUUGUAUAUGAAACAUUGAAGUGGAUAUAAUGUAAUCAAAACAUUCAGAAUACAUCAUAUUGUUCAGCUGUU